ensembl:3prime_overlapping_ncRNA Gm17114 predicted gene 17114
UCCCAUAGUGAAACAGCUCAGGGCAGAGCAUGAGGGUAUCAGAGGCCAUAGGAAGCCUGGCAGGCCUCUGGGGACCUGACCUGAGACCUCCUCCAAAGUGCUUUGGACACUGCUUCCCCAUGCCCGCUCCCCCUAACUCCCCCAUCGCUUUCCCACCCCCAGCUGCUGUCUUGGCAUCCAAAGGAUGUGUAAACACUGGGGACAUGAGUAGUGGUGGUCAAGGUGACAGCAGCAUCCCAGACAGGGUGUGAUGGGGCAGGCCUCCACCUGUCCGCCUCCCCAGUCUCCGUGGUGGGAGCAAGGGUUGGGUGGGGCUUCUCCCCUUGCAACAAUUGCGCUCAUAUCCGGGAGUCCUGGAAGCGGCUGGAGCCGUUACUGCCCACGAUGGGAAUCUGGGCCUUGUCCGGGUGGCUUUCUUAAAGGGAAAGUUGCAUCAGCCUCCCGAGGCUCUCUGCAGCCGCCAGUCCUCCCGCCCCGCCGCGUUGCCUGCCGCUCCUCCAGAGCUUGUUGUGUUUUGGUUUCGGGGAGGCGGG